UACGAACGCUGGCGGCGUGCCUAAUACAUGCAAGUCGAACGCUGAAGGAGGAGCUUGCUUCUCUGGAUGAGUUGCGAACGGGUGAGUAACGCGUAGGUAACCUGCCUGGUAGCGGGGGAUAACUAUUGGAAACGAUAGCUAAUACCGCAUAAUAGUAGAUGUUGCAUGACAUUUGCUUAAAAGGUGCAAUUGCAUCACUACCAGAUGGACCUGCGUUGUAUUAGCUAGUUGGUGGGGUAACGGCUCACCAAGGCGACGAUACAUAGCCGACCUGAGAGGGUGAUCGGCCACACUGGGACUGAGACACGGCCCAGACGCCUACGGGAGGCAGCAGUAGGGAAUCUUCGGCAAGGGACGGAAGUCUGACCGAGCAACGCCGCGGGAGUGAAGAAGGGUGUCGGAUCGUAAAGCUCGGUUGUAAGAGAAGAACGAGUGUGAGAGUGGAAAGUUCACACUGUGACGGUAUCUGACCAGAAAGGGACGGCUAACUACGUG
rnacentral:rRNA from 1 species